UUUGAGCUUUUCAACCUUGCGAUGCUAGUUCGGCAGUCUUGGCGUUUACUCUAGAACCCAAAUACAUUGAGUGCACGAAUCCUCAAAAGUGUCUAUUACCCAACAACCAACAUUCUGCAUGCCACCCUGGGAGGACAUCCAAGCCAAGUUUGGAGAGCAAUUGUUGAAGAUAGAGACACGCUCAAGCAAGGACUGAUCCGUCGGAUAGGUAAUGGAGAAACUACACACAUUUGGGAGGAUACAUGGUUACCCAGUGAUGAGAUGCUUAGGCCCUACCGGUGCUGA
rnacentral:rRNA from 1 species